UAUAAAUAUUAUGCAACGGUAACAUCUCAAAAUAGAUAGAGGAAAUAUGGCUGCAAGCAACAAAGUUGGUGCAAUAUAUCUUCUCAUUUUGUGUAGUGCAAUUCUACUAAGCGUGAAUCCAGCAACUGUGAGGGCAAUAGUAUGCCCUAAUGUAUGCAUGGACUAUGCAGGGUAUAUGACCUGCCCAUCUUCGGGCAGUAAGCAACUCAAUCCGCCUUGCAAUUGCUGCUAUGCUCCAAAGGGCUGCACCAUUUAUCGUGCUUCUGGAACUCCAAUCUGUACUGCCACUGGGGCUUGAAUAGUUGAAGGGAUUGGUGGACAAGAUCCGAUGUUAAACAUGUUUGCUGGAAGUUAUGUUUGGUUUGCAACAUAAAGUUAUCUGUGUGUUGUUACAGAGACACAAAGAUCUUUGUGCUGUUGUAUUAUCUUUUUGUAUUUGUACUGCCUAUAUGAAUCAACCCUUUAGCGGUUUGUAUCUAGCUUGUUCAAUCAAGUUUUAGCCUUUUGUGCUUUAUGUGUGCACUCAUGUUAAUUCAAUGUGUUUCCUUU